rnacentral:rRNA from 1 species
UCCUACGGGAGGCAGCAGUGGGGAAUAUUGGACAAUGGGCGAAAGCCUGAUCCAGCCAUGCCGCGUGUGUGAAGAAGGUCUUCGGAUUGUAAAGCACUUUAAGUUGGGAGGAAGGGCAGUAAGCUAAUACCUUGCUGUUUGACGUACCGACAGA